GAUGAACGCUGGCGGCGUGCCUAAUACAUGCAAGUCGAGCGAACAGAUAAGGAGCUUGCUCCUUUGACGUUAGCGGCGGACGGGUGAGUAACACGUGGGUAACCUACCUAUAAGACUGGGAUAACUUCGGGAAACCGGAGCUAAUACCGGAUAAUAUUUCGAACCGCAUGGUUCGAUAGUGAAAGAUGGUUUUGCUAUCACUUAUAGAUGGACCCGCGCCGUAUUAGCUAGUUGGUAAGGUAACGGCUUACCAAGGCGACGAUACGUAGCCGACCUGAGAGGGUGAUCGGCCACACUGGAACUGAGACACGGUCCAGACUCCUGAGGGAGGCAGCAGUAGGGAAUCUUCCGCAAUGGGCGAAAGCCUGACGGAGCAACGCCGCGUGAGUGAUGAAGGUCUUCGGAUCGUAAAACUCUGUUAUUAGGGAAGAACAUACGUGUAAGUAACUGUGCACGUCUUGACGGUACCUAAUCAGAAAGCCACGGCUAACUACGUG
rnacentral:rRNA from 1 species